UAUGCAUCUACACGUGAAUGGUAUUGACAACUUAAAAUUGGGUUAACAGCAUGGAGCGAAAUGAUUUGUCAUACUUUUUUACAAAUUGCUUUCUCCCCCUUUCUUCUUCUUUGGUUUCUUUUCCUUCUUCUGUUUC
rnacentral:ribozyme from 15 species